GAUGAGAUAUGAGGGUCGGCACAAGGCACAGGUCAUAAAGACCUUGCUGAUAAAACAGGCUGCAGUAAAGACGCCUGCUAAAACCCACCAAACCAAGAUGGCCACGAGAAUGACCUAGGUCAUCCUCAUUGCUACACUCUCACCAGCGCCAUGACAGUUUACAAAUGCCAUGGCAAUGUCAGGAACUUACCCUAUAUGGUCUAAAAUGGGGAGGCUUGAAUAAUCUACCCCUCGUUUAGCAUACAAUCAAGAAAUAAAAUAAAAAUGGGGCCGGACGCAGUGGCUCACGCCUGUAAUCCCAGCACUUUGAGAGGCCGAGACGGGUGGAUCACCAGGUCAGGAGAUUGAGACCAUUCUGGCUAACACGGUGAAACCCCGUCUCUACUAAAAAAUACAAAAAACUAGCCGGGCAUGGUGGCGGGUGCCUGUAGUCCCAGCUACUUGGGAGGCUGAGGCAGGAGAAUGGCAUGAACCCAGGAGGUGGAGCUUGCAGUGAGCUGAGAUCGUGCCACUGCACUACAGCCUGGGCAACAGAGAGAGACUCCGUCUCAAAAAAAAAAAAAAUUAGCUGGGCAUGGUAGUGCAUGCCUGUAAUCUCAGCUACUUGGGAGGCUGAAGCAGAAGAAUUGCUUGAACCUGGGAGGCAGAGGUUGCAGUGAGCCAAGAUCACGGCAUUAUACUUGACGGAGCAAGAUUCUGUCCAAAAAAAGAAAAAGGCUUAAAUAAAAUAUUUUUUGUCAGAAAAGUAAAAAGUGUAAUGCCUUUUAGUUCACAUGACUUAAGUAAUCUUUGGGAAAUAAAAACAGUUUUACAUGCAAGGUGUGUAAAGAAACUGAAAUAUGUUUUUCAUAAAAGAUUAUAAGAAGUCAGUCAGGCAUGGUGGCUCAUGCCUGUAAUCCUAGAACUUUGGGAGGCCGAGGCAGACAGAUCACGAGGUCAGGAAUUUGAGACCAGCCUAGCCAACAUGAUGAAACCCUGUCUCUACUAAAAUACAAAAAAUUAGUCAGGCAUGGUGAUGCGUGCCUGUAGUCCCAUCUACUCAGGAGGCUGAGGCAAGGGAAUCACUUGAACCCAGGAGGCAAAGAUUGCAGUGAGCCGAGAUCGCACCACUGAGCUCCAGCCUGGUGACAGAGCAAGACUCCGUCUCAAAAAAAAAUAAUAAAUAAAUAAAUAAGAAGUCACGGGAAUGUGGAUUUUUUUUUCGCCUAAAGGGUUAAAGGAUUGUUUAAGUUAAAUAGAAUAAAACUGAAAGUUUAAGAGUUUGUUAAUCUUGUAAAUGAAAUUCUGUGUGUGAACAUACUGGCUAAAGUUAAGAGGGUAUUAUUCAGUUUUUCUGUAAAUUAAAUAUUAGAAUAAAAGUACAGUAAGUUUUUCUUAGAGCACUAAUCUGCUCUUCAACAAAAAAAAUUACAAAGGGUUGGCCAGUCACGUUGGCUCAUGUCUGUAAUCCCAGCACUUUGGGAGGCCGAGGUGGGCGGAUCACCUGAGGUUGGGAGUUCGAGACCAGCCUGACCAACAAGGAGAAACCCCAUCUCUACUAAAAAUACAAAAUUAGCCAGGUGUGGUGGUGCAUGCCUGUAAUCCCAGCUACUCGGGAGGCUGAGGCAGGAGAAUAGCUCGAACCCAGGAGGCAGAGGUUGCGGUGAGCCAAGAUCGUGCCACUGCACUCCUGCCUGGGAAACAAGAGCACAACUCCAUCUCAAAAAAAAAAAAAAUUUUAAAGGGUUAUAAAAGGUUAAUGAAAAUCUUACCUUAUGGUCAGGCAUUAAAGUUGGAUAGAUUUGUCUAUAAGGUUUUAUUAAGAAUUGGGUUUAACAUUAAUAGUAUACUAAUGCAAAGUGAAGUUUGGCUUAUUUGGUAUAUAAAUCAUAAAGGAAGCAUUGUCAAAUAUGAAAUAGUGUUUGGCUUUCAUUGGGCUGUAUUUGCAUAAAUAUGUUAUUGAGGCCAGGCGUGGUGGCUCAAGCCUGUAAUCCCAGCACUGUGGGAGGCCAAGGCAGGCGGAUCACCUGAAGUCAGGAGUUCAAGACCAGCCUGGCCAACAUGGUGAAACCCCAUCUCUACUAAAAAUACAAAAAUUAGCUAGGCAUGGUAGUGCACACCUGUAGUCCCAGCUAUCUGAGAGGCUGAGGCAGGAGAAUUGCUUGAACCCUGGAGCCAGAGGUUGCAGUGAGCUGAGAUCAUUGUGCCACUGCACUCCAGGCUGGGUGACAAAGCAAGAUUCUGUCUCAAAAAUAAAUAAAUAAAUAAACAAAAAUAUGUUAUUGGUAUAUGUUCCAAAAUUAUGGAAAACUCCUAUAAUUCUGUCAUGACUUAGUGUAUGUUACUAAUAAUUACAAUUGUUAUGUAAAAUUGUUACAUGCCACUGUGGUAACCAAAUUUCUUUGUCAGUUGUGUUUUUGACUGUGGCUGCCUUAAAACAUUUUGUCAUCCACAGACAACUGUUGUCUUGUUUUAAUCCUCUUUCAAAGGUGGUUUUAAUCAGCUAUAGGAAUUUGAAAAGUGCUCUUGAAUGCAGGUUUCUAAUAACUUUGGAGACUGUGACAUUAGAAUUGAGGAAAAACUUUCAGGACUCAUGCAAAGCUGAAAUGUUCAUGAAUGUCAAUCAGAACAGAAGUUAACUGCAUGGACUGAACUAAUAGAAGACUAAAGUAAUCUUUUUGACUUUGCUUAAAACAUUGCUGAUCCCUUGUUUUGUUGUUCAGAGUCAAGAAAACUUUUCUUUUGAGCUAUUUACAUCUUUUAAAAAUUGAGUAAAGUAUACUCCUGUGAACAAAAUUUAGACCGUAUUUGUUUCACUCUACCUAAUUUCUCAGAAUUUGGAAACUAUUUGUGAGUAUUCUCAACUUAUGGCAAUAUAAUUAUUUGCAUAAGUGCAAUAAGAAUCUGUUUCUUUUUGCAAUAGGACACAGUUGGAGAAAUUGGUUAUUUUACCAAGGCUUUGACUGGAAUGGUAUGUUUUCCUUUAAAGAAUCAAAUUUGACUAACAGAGCCAAUAAAAGCCCCAUGAGAAAACUGGCCUCAUACCUUGGCUACAGACUCUGUACAGGGUUCUUGACCUGUGGUAAUUAAAGAAUGUCACUUUCUGACAGGCCCAGGAGCCCCAAGUUAUCUUGGAACCUCAAGAGGAGAGAAAUUUACCCAACUUACAGGUACUUCAGGAUACAAACCCAUGGCUGGGCUCAGCUUUAAAAAAGUAUUAUCUAAGAUUUCUUAAGAAGCAGACUUCCAUCAAAGCCAAUUUUAAAAGCCUAUGUAAAAAAAUAUUUAUUCUUGCUGCACUUUAUACAAAUAAUCAGUCCAAGUAUAAUAAAGCAAAUCGGUCUUACCAUGAUUUGUCUUUAGUAAAAAUGAAAGACUGGAGAGAGGAAAAAAAUAUAUGUUUCAAAAACUAUGGUUAGGCUGGGCAUGGUGGCUCACACCUGGAAUCCCAGCACUUUGGGAGGCUGAGGUGGGUGGAUCACUUGAGGUCAGCAGUUCAAAACCAGCCUGACCAACAUGGUGAAACCUCAUCUCUAUUAAAAAAAAAUACAAAAAUUAGCCAGGCAUGGUGGUGUGUGCCUAUAAUCCCAGAUACUCGGGAGGUUGAGACAGGAGGAUUGCCUGAACCCAGCAGGUGGAGGUUGCAAUGAGCCGAGAUUGCACCACUGCCCUCCAGCUUGGGCAACAGAGUAAGACUCUGUCUCAAAAAAAAAAAAAAGAAAGAAAGAAAAAAAAAACCUAUGGUUAUUAGGUUCUAGUCUCAUCAGUUGUGUUUACGUUUUUUCCUGCAAUUUAGACUGACCCUACUUAUUUCUAUUAACCAACUAGUGAUCUCUGGUGCAGCUCAGAAGAAACAAGAGAUAUAGGUAAUGUAAAAACCUGGAUCAAUAUUCUAAUUCUGGGCAUAUAUUGGAAUCAGCUAGCAAUCCCAUAUCAGCUUGGUUCCAACAGUUGCCCAGUUCAUGAAAAGCCUUCUAAUUUAGUUUAUUUGGAAUAAUUUCACUUAUUUUGCUUUACCGUUGUGGAAUACAUUGCUGUUGUACUCUUUGUGUAGAAACGCACAAUAAGCUUACUGAAUGUUUUCUUAAAUUGAACACUUAUUAAUCUUCCAGAUAUUACCUUUUGUUGGAACUCAAGAGACAUGAAUGGCCUUGCCAUACUGCUGCUUUCUGACUGAGCUCCUCUCUACCCUGAAUACAAGAGACCCUCAUAGUUAGGCAGGAAUAUAAUCGACCUAUUCAGCAUGAAGAAGUUACAGAAGAUGGAUUUUCAUCCCUUUGCAACCCUUAUGAUUAAGGGCUCUUUUAUAAAAGGGAGGGAGAAAUAUCAGAGGCAUUUGAACCACAGUAACUCCAUCUUGAAUAGGGGCCAGGUAAAAUAAGGCUAAGACCUGCUGGGCUGCAUUCCCAGACAGUUAGGCAUUCUAAGUCACUGGAUGAGAUGUGAGGGUCAGCACAAGGCACAGGUCAUAAAGACCUUGCUGAUAAAACAUGCUCAAGUAAAGAAGCCUGCUAACACCCACCAAACCAAGAUGGCCAUGAGAGUGACCCACCUCGUCCUCAUUGCUACAUUCCCUCCAGUGCCUUGACAAUUUACAAAUGCCACGGUAAUGUCAGGAAGUUACCCUAUAUGGUCUAAAAAGGGGAGGCAUGAAUAAUCUGUCAGGCCUCUGAGCCCAAGCUAAGCCAUCAUAUCCCCUGUGACCUGCAUGUAUACAUCCAGAUGGCCUGAAGCAACUGAAGAUCCACAAAAGAACUGAAAACAGCCUUAACUGAUGACAUUCCACCAUUGUGAUUUGUUCCUGCCCCACCCUAAGUGAUAGGCUAUGUUCUCCCCCGCCCUUAAGAAGGUACUUUGUAAUAUUCUCCCCCGCCCUUAAGAAUGUACUUUGUACACCUAUCCCAAACGUAUAAAAACUAAUGAUAAUCCCACCAACCUUUGCUGACUCCUUUCUCGGACUCAGCCCACCUGCACCCAGGUGAAAUAAACAGCCCUGUUGCUCACACAAAGCCUGUUGGUGGUCUCUUCACAAGGAUGCGUGUGACAUUUGGUGCCAAAACCCAGGACAGGAGGACUCCUUCAGGAGACCAGUCCCCUGUCUUCGCCCUCACUCCGUGACCUCAGGUCCUCAGACCAACCAGCCCAAGGAACAUCUCACCAACUUCAAAUUGGGACCCCACUGGAAAUCAGACUGUCCAACUCACCCAGCAGCCACUCCCAGAGCCCCUGGAACUCUGGCCCAAGGCUCUCUGACUGACUCCUUCCCAGAUCGUCUCAGCUUAGCGGCUGAAGACUGACACUGCCCGAUCGCCUCGGAAGCCUACAGGACCAUCACAGAUGCUCUGGAUAACUCUUACAGUGGAGGGAACCCACCAGCCAUCCUGGUUGAUUAUGAAUGAGGCUGUCCAGCCCUGUCUGAGCUCAGCACCUCCACCAUCCCCUGGGCAUUUCUACAAGACGUUCUGUAUGCAGGGGGGACCCAGGUUAAGACCCAAACUGGUUCAAUUGGCAUCUGACGCCCUUUGCAAAUGGCUCUACUCUCCUUCAUCAAUCCAUCACCCAAAGACAGCCUGAUCUAAAAGGAUAGAUUCUUCACACAUGCCAUCCGCACUCCUGCCUUCAUAUGAAGUUACUCCUACUUUUUGGCCACCUCUCCUUCGAAGCCCAGCCUCAACUCCCACCUCCUCCUUCAUGAAGCCCUCCCCAGCCACAUAAGUUCUCAGUAGUCAUUUCUCUGAAUUUUGAGUGUCUUCCUGUCUAUAUAAUGUGUCUGGCACUUUAAGAAACAUUAGACUGUUUUGGAAAAUGCCUUGGGCUUUGGAAUAAAAUAGAGCUGGUGAUGUUACUGA